rnacentral:rRNA from 1 species
UACAGAGGUGGCAAGCGUUGUUCGGAAUUACUGGGCGUAAAGGGCGCGUAGGCGGCUCGACAAGUCCCGCGUGAAAGCCCCCGGCUCAACUGGGGAACUGCGCGGGAAACUGUCGGACUUGAGUUCGGGAGAGGGAAGCGGAAUUCCGGGUGUAGCGGUGAAAUGCGUAGAUAUGCGGAGGAACACCGAUGGCGAAGGCAAUCCCCUGGGCCUGCACUGACGCUCAUGCACGAAAGCGUGGGGAGCAAACAGG